GAUGAAGAACGUAGUAAAAUGCGAUAAGUAAUGUGAAUUGCAGAAUUCAGUGAAUCAUCGAAUCUUUGAACGCACAUUGCGCCCGCUGGUAUUCCGGCGGGCAUGCCUGUUCGAGCGUCAUUUCAACCCUCAAGCCCCCGGGUUUGGUGUUGGGGAUCGGCUCUGCCUUACGGCGGUGCCGCCCCCGAAAUACAUUGGCGGUCUCGCUGCAGCCUCCAUUGCGUAGUAGCUAACACCUCGCAACUGGAACGCGGCGCGGCCAUGCCGUAAAACCCCAACUUCUGAAUGUUGACCUCGGAUCAGGUAGGAAUACCCGCUGAACUUAAGCAUAUCAAUAAGCGGAGGA
rnacentral:misc_RNA from 1 species